GCUCCGAGUCCAGACGUUACAGGAUCACACACAGAGCAAGAGGUGGUCCCGACGACAGUCAUUCUUCAGGAAGCAAAUCACAUAAAAACAUUAUCCUCAUUAUUCAGGGUGUCCUUUGGAGGAGCCAGUGGACUUUGUGGACAGUUGGACUUGAGGUAGAGGAGGAACUAUUAUUCACAGCCUUAUACUGUAC